rnacentral:rRNA from 1 species
CACAUGCAAGUCUCAGCACACCUGUGAGGACGCCCUUUCCCCCUUCCCUUAGGCCAAGGAGCCGGCAUCAGGCCUACUUGCCCAUGACGCCUAGUCCCACCACGCCCUCAAGGGCCUUCAGCAGUGAUUAAUUUUGUCCAUAAACGACAGCUUGACCCAGCCAUAGACAAAUAGAGCUGGCUAAUUGGUGCCAGCCGCCGCGGCUAAACCGCACGAGCUCAAGUUGAUAAUUGUCGGCGUUAAGCGUGCUUAAAGACCUCAAUAAUUAGAGCAGAAUCUACACUUAGCCGUCAUAAGCUUGUGUGGGAGAAAAGACAUA